UACGGAGGAUGCGAGCGUUAUCCGGAUUUAUUGGGUUUAAAGGGUGCGUAGGCGGAAUAUCAAGUCAGCGGUAAAAAUUCGGGGCUCAACCCCGUCGUGCCGUUGAAACUGAUGUUCUUGAGUGGGCGAGAGGUAUGCGGAAUGCGUGGUGUAGCGGUGAAAUGCAUAGAUAUCACGCAGAACUCCGAUUGCGAAGGCAGCAUACCGGCGCCCAACUGACGCUGAAGCACGAAAGCGUGGGUAUCGAACAGG
rnacentral:rRNA from 1 species